rnacentral:rRNA from 1 species
ACGGUCCUUUCGGGGAUAGUGGCGGACGGGUGAGUAACGCGUGAGAAUCUGCCUUCAGGACGGGAACAACAACUGGAAACGGUUGCUAAAGCCCGAUGUGCCUUUCGGGGUGAAAUACUUGUAGCCUGAAGAUGAGCUCGCGUCCGAUUAGCUAGUUGGUGGAGUAAUGGUUUACCAAGGCGACGAUCGGUAACUGGUCUGAGAGGAUGACCAGUCACACUGGGACUGAGACACGGCCCAGACUCCUACGGGAGGCAGCAGUGGGGAAUUUUCCGCAAUGGGCGAAAGCCUGACGGAGCAAUACCGCGUGAGGGAGGAAGGCUCUUGGGUCGUAAACCUCUUUUAUCAGGGAAGAAACAAAUGACGGUACCUGAUGAAUCAGCAUCGGCUAACUCCGUGCCAGCAGCCGCGGUAAUACGGAGGAUGCAAGCGUUAUCCGGAAUUAUUGGGCGUAAAGCGUCCGCAGGUGGUUUUGAAAGUUUGCUGUCAAAGCGCGGAGCUUAACUUCGUACCGGCAGUGAAAACUCCAAGACUAGAGUUUGGUAGGGGUCACGGGAAUUCCCAGUGUAGCGGUGAAAUGCGUAGAGAUUGGGAAGAACACCAGCGGCGAAAGCGCGUGACUGGGCCUGAACUGACACUCAUGGACGAAAGCUAGGGGAGCGAAAGGGAUUAGAUACCCCUGUAGUCCUAGCCGUA